rnacentral:rRNA from 1 species
GAAUCUGCCCUCAGGAGGGGGAUAACGGUUGGAAACGACCGCUAAUACCCCAUAUGCCGAGAGGUGAAAUGAAAUUCGCCUGAGGAUGAGCUCGCGUCUGAUUAGCUAGUUGGUAAGGUAAUGGCUUACCAAGGCAUUGAUCAGUAGCUGGUCUGAGAGGAUGAUCAGCCACACUGGGGCUGAGACACGGCCCAGACUCCUACGGGAGGCAGCAGUGGGGAAUUUUCCGCAAUGGGCGCAAGCCUGACGGAGCAACGCCGCGUGAGGGAUGAAGGCCUCUGGGCUGUAAACCUCUUUUAUCAAGGAAGAAGAACUGACGGUACUUGAUGAAUAAGCCACGGCUAAUUCCGUGCCAGCAGCCGCGGUAAUACGGGAGUGGCAAGCGUUAUCCGGAAUUAUUGGGCGUAAAGCGUCCGCAGGCGGUUUUACAAGUCUGUCGUUAAAGCGUGGAGCUCAACUCCAUUUCAGCGAUGGAAACUGUAAGACUCGAGUGUGGUAGGGGCAGAGGGAAUUCCCGGUGUAGCGGUGAAAUGCGUAGAUAUCGGGAAGAACACCAGUGGCGAAAGCGCUCUGCUGGGCCAUAACUGACGCUCAUGGACGAAAGCCAGGGGAGCG